UGCUUUGCUCAUUAAUUGUACUUGUCUAAACUUUCCUUUCCCUGCAGGGGCAUGGAUAAGGAGUUGAAAUCAUCACUUUCAAGACCAAAAGGAGCCCAGCUUCUGCUUUGUUUCCCUCCAUGCUCCCCAGGUGUCCACAGGAAGAGUAUUGUAUCCCUGGCAUCCUGAGC
rnacentral:lncRNA from 12 species